rnacentral:rRNA from 1 species
UACAGAGGGUGCGAGCGUUGUCCGGAAUCACUGGGCGUAAAGGGCGCGUAGGUGGCGACCCAAGUCGAUGGUGAAAGCUCGCCGCUCAACGGCGAGUCGGCCACCGAUACUGGGUUGCUGGAGCACUGUAGAGGCAGAUGGAAUUCCGGGUGUAGCGGUGGAAUGCGUAGAGAUCCGGAAGAACACCGGUGGCGAAGGCGGCCUGCUGGGCUAUGGCUGACACUGAGGCGCGACAGCGUGGGGAGCAAACAGGG